GCCCUUAUAGCUCAGUGGUAGAGCGCAUCACUCGUACUACGGUACGUUAAUUUGCGUUAUGCCUGCGUAAUGAUGAGGUCCAUUGUUCGAUCCAGUGUGGGGGCA